rnacentral:lncRNA from 1 species
GACACGGUCACUCCUGUUUCCAGGGGCAGCUCAGCCCGGACCCCCCCCGCCCCCCGACGUGGCACAGCACGGGGGCCUGCCGUACCUUGUUGGCAUCAAAAUCUGGCUGCACCAGGACGUCAGCCCGAGCCGAGGGUGGCCAGAGCAGCAGCAGGACGCAGCUCAGCAGCGUGGCCCCCAUCCCCGUCCGUGCCCCCUGGCUCCAGCACUGGUCUACUGCCCCCCUUUGUGGGCAGCUUUAUAGCCCGGCCCGCAGUGGGGCAGGGCCAGCGAGCCGCCUGGACAGGGGAUGGUGUCUGGGCUCCUGAAACGCCAACCCCUCUUUGUUCAUUGUUUGGCACAAUCGCCCGAGUGUCCCCACUGGCUCCAGGGGUCAUUUCCGGGAGGGCUCCAGAGGGCUCUCACUUGACUUGGGCCUUGCCCACCUGUGGGCACCGCGGCUGGAGACCCGCGCACUGGGAAGCACCCACGGUCAGGGUGCUCCAGCCAGGAGGCUCCCCUUUGGGGCCCAGGUCCCCCAGAGUCCUCACCUCCUCACCUCCCUGCACAGGAGCGGAGUCACAUCAGCCAGGCCUGGGGACCUCGUCUCAGGGGGACAGAGGUGACGUCAGAGGCCCGAGCAGCCCUGCCUCCAGACCCCCUCCAGCAAGCCUGUGUGGAGGGCGGGGCUGGGCCAUCACCUGGGGUGGAUUAUGGGGUCACGGCCAUCUUAUCACUGGUUGCAUAAGCGUGUGGACCGCAGUGUCGCCGGGGAGGUGCCGCAGGCUGGCCAGGCCUCUCUCCAGGUGGCCUCUUCUGUCCUCUCAGGGGACCCCAGGGGCGCCAUUUGAGGAGCAGCACGUGGCCUGGGGCGCCCGGAGUCCUUCAGUGGCAGCCCUCCCACGGCCUUGCGUGGGGGUCAGUUGACUGAGAAUAGCUCAGACCCACUUUACAGAUGUGAACACUGAGGCCGGACUCGAGGGCUUGGUGCUCAGGGCUGUCUUUUCACAUCACACUGCAUCCUAAAAAUAACUCAGGCUUCAUCUGAGUCUGAACUAGGAUGACUGGGGCACCUUGUUCACCCAGAAUCCCCAACACCCCAUUUUAACCUUUUAGGGAGCCUUAGAGGGAACUUAUCUGUCCCCUCCAAAGUCCUGCUGGAGGUGAGGGGAGGCGAGGGAUGGUGGGGCUGCCGGCGAGCCUGUGGGAAGCAGUCUGCCUGCCUGUGUCUGGCAACCGUCCCCUCCAGUUAGCAGGACUGAGCAGGCAUUGCCCUCAAGAGCCGCCAGCGGUUAGAAGGUCAUUACGCUCUUCCUUCUGGUAAUCACAUUUGGGAGUCGGCCGUGGCCACAAAAGAGCAAGGGCGUGACCCUUGCUCCUGGGGAAGAGCAGUCACAUGGGAGAAAAGGAGAGAGACCCAUGGCCUUGAACCUGGGGGAGCGGGGCACUGCACCAUCUCUGCCGCCUUGGGAUACAGCUGCCCCCCCCGGGAGGGGGGGCGGUCGGGCACUUUGAGGGAACUUGAGGCUCAGGCCUCAUGGCUGGGCACCUUUUGGUGACUGAGCUGUCCUGCCAGGUCCUGUUUGCAAACUGGGAUCUGAGCUCCAAGCUGCAGGAACGCACCAAGGGAGCGGUUCUUACUAGAAAGAGCCAUGGCUUUUGUGGACAGUGUGGUGUGUGGACCAGGCUCACAGGGUCCUGUGAUCGUGCGGGUCGCUGUUCAGAACCCAGCAUGUGCUGGGUGCUUCCUGGGCGCGGACACUCAUCUUUCCCAAAGCUGGCAUCGCUGUUGAUGCCCAAAGUCAGCCCGCUUGUGGUUGGCGAGGGCUAGAGUCACAUCCCCGUUUGUGUGGCCCCUAAGCCUGGGUCCUCCUCGAAGCACUGUGCAGUCGGUGGAAGAGGCCUGUGCUGGGGAGCGGAGGAUCCUUGCCCACCGUCUGCUGGCUCUGGGGCCUUGGGCAAGGAAGCCCCCUCUCCUGAGAGCCGUGGCGGUGACCUCCGAGAGGAUGUAGGCCGGGACUGGAUCUCGGGGGCACAUGUGAGAGAGCACACAGCCACAGGCUUUGGAAACUGCUCUGCACAUCCUGGCGAGGACAGAGCCCAGGACCCACAGCUCCGACUCUCACCUCACAGCUCCGACUCACACGCUUGACCCUGGAGCCCAGAGGGACCACAAGAGUGCCCCACAACUCACUAAACAGGGUGGGCAGGGCUGGACUGAUGCCAGGGCUUCAGACUCCAAAGUUGACUCUCUCCACUCCUCCGUGUUAGUGUGCCCUGAGAGGCCAGCACCUCUGCUGAAAGGCAUCCAUCCUUCCAUCAUCCAACCCCUAUUCAUCCAUUCAUUUAUCCAUCUGAUUCCCACCCACCCAUCCAUCCAACAUCCAUCCACCCUCUAUCACUGAUCCGUUUUCCAUCCAUCCACCCAAUAGCCACCCGUCACCUGUCACUCAGUCAUUAUCCAUCCGUCCCUCCAACACUCACUCACUGUCCAUCCACCUACUUGUCUGUUCCUCAAGAACUAAUCAAGCAGUUACUGUUUGCUCAGAGACGGCAGCUAGCACAGCCAGCCCGGGCCCUGCUUGGAGUCUCCUGGGCGAGAGGCGUUUCGUGGGCUGCGUGUAAAUAUAGCUGUAAUAUUCACGUUGGCCAGUGUCCGUAGGAUACAGGCUCAGGUGGCUGGGUGGGUGUCUGAGCGAGUUACAAGCUUCUCUGUGCGUCCGUUUCCCCACCUGUCGACAGGGAGCAGCGCAGAGCUGGCCUUGCGUCAGCGCGUCUCCCGUGAGGCGCUGGCCCCUUCGCGGGCGCCGUGUUCUCGGGUGAGGGUCUGCCGAGCGCGCUUCUGCUGCUGCGACCACUGCCAUCACUGCCAUCACUGCCGUGUUGCUUCAGGCGCUGAGGAGGGCGGCUUGCAGACGUGAGGUCCAGGAAUGGGUGCGCCCCGAGUGGAGGGCUCUCGGUCCCCUCUGCUGUGCGUGUGAUAGGAGCCGUGCUUGCCCCUAAAACCCCCAGACUCGCCUAUGUGAGCCCCUGGGGCCUUGGUGAACCUGGGGAGAGGUGACGUGACAGGGCAAGAGUGGGACCCUGGGGGGCGCCUAGGAAUGGUGGCCGCUCCUCAUGGUCUUCGGGGGCCAGAUGUCACUUCGCAUAGUCACUCCCAAUCUUCUGGAAGGUUCUAGUGCUGUUCCUACUUAGCUAGGUAGAGCCUGAAGCUCAGAGAGGUCACGGAACUGGCCCAGGGACGCCGCUAGGAGCCGGGUCUCCCACCUGAAGCGCGCCCUUCCCGCUGGGCUCCCUGUUUCCAGGCUCGCUCCCUGAGUGUCCUGGAGCUGUCCAGACGCACCCAGGGGCUGAAGCCGGUGGGCGUUCACUCUCCCAGUUCCGGAGGGCCGAGGUCUGAAAUGACGGUGCUGGCAGGGCUCUGUCCCUCCAGAGGCGCUGGGGGAGGGCGCUUCCUGCUUUCUCCAGCUCAUGCUGGCUCAGGCGUUCUGGCUUGUGGCCGCGUCCCUCCAGUUUCUGCUCUGACUUCUCUUGGCUUCUCUGUUGCUGUGUCUCUAAUAAGGCUCCUUGUUGUUGCAUUUAGGACCCACCUGGUCAAUUAAAACCAUGAACCAUGUAACCACUAACCGUGCCUGUGGGGUCUCCCACGACGGGCGGGUCAGGGUGGAGAGUUCCGACAGAAAGCAAUCCACUGGAGAAGGGAACGGCAAACCGCUCCAGCAUUCCUGCCUUGAGAGCCCCAUGAACACCAGGAAAAGGCAAAAGGAAACGACUCUGAAAGAUGAACUGCCCAGGUCAGUAGGUGCCCAACACGCUGCUGGAGAAGAGUGUAGAGAGUUCCAGGAGGAAUGAAGAGGCGGAGCCAGAGAGAAAACAAAACCCAGCUGUGGAUGAGACUGGCGAUGGAAGAACAGUCUGAUGCUGUAAAGAACAGUGUUGCCUAGGAAUCUGGAAUGUUAGGUCCAUGAAUCAAGGCACGUUGGAAGUGGUCAAACAGGAGAUGGCAAGAGUGAACAAUGACAUUUUAGGAAUCAGUGAACUAAAAUGGACUGGAAUGGGCUAACUCAAUUCAGAUGACCAUUAUAUCUACCACCAGGGCAAGAAUCCCUCAGGAGAAACGGAGUAGGUCCCAUAGUCACCAAGCAAGUCUGAAAUGCAGCACUUGCUGCCAUCUCAGAAAGGACAAAGUGAUUUCUGUUCUUUUCCAAACCAUUCAGUAUCCAUGUCUGUGCCCCAACCAGUAAUGCUGAAGAAGCUGAAGUCGAACAUUUCAAUGAAGACCUACAAGACCUCCCAGAAUUAACACCCAGAAGAGGUGUCCUUUUCAUCAUAGGGGACUGGAAUGCAAAAGUAGGAAGUCAAGAGAUACCUGGAGCAACAGGCAAGUAUGGCCUUGGAGUACGAAAUGAAACAGGCAAAGGCUAACAGAAUUUUGCCAAGAGAAGGCAUUGGUCAUAGCAAACACCUCCAAAUUUGCUGGCAUAUUGAGUGCAGCCCUUUAACAGCAUCAUCUGUUAGGACUUGAGAUAGCUAAGCUGGAAUUCCAUCAUCUCCACUAGCUUUGUUCAUAGUGAUGCUUCCUAAGGCCCACUUGACUUCAGAUUCCAGGAUGUCUGCAUUCAAUGUGUCCACAAAUUUGGAAAACUCAGCAGUGGCCACAGGACUGGAAAAGGUCAAUUUUCAUUCCAAUCCCAAAGAAGGGUAAUUCCAAAGAAUGCUCAAACUACUGCACAAUUGCACUCAUCACACACACUAGCAAAGCAAUGCUCAAAAUUCUCUAAGCUAGAUUUCAGUUCAGUUCAGUCGCUCAGUCAUGUCCGACUCUCUGCGACCCCAUGAAUCGCAGCACACCAGGCCUCCCUGUCCAUCACCAUCUCCCAGAGUUCACUCAGACUCAGGUCCAUCGAGUCCGUGAUGCCAUCCAGCCAUCUCAUCCUGGGUCGUCCCCUUCUCCUCCUGCCCCCAAUCCCUCCCAGCAUCAGAGUCUUUUCCAAGGGAAACUCAGCAGUGGCCACAGGACAGAAAAAGUCAGUUUUCAUUCCAAUUCCAAAGAAGGGAAAUGCCAAAGAAUGCUCAAACUACUGCACAGUUGCACUCAUCUCACAUGCUGGCAAAGUAAUGCUUAAGUCUCCAAGUGAGGCUUCCGUAGUAUGUGAACCGAGAACUUCCAGAUGUUGAAGCUGGAUUUAGAAAAAGCAGAGGAACCAGAGAUCCAAUUGCUGACAUCCGUUGGAUCAUAGAAAAAGCAGGAGAGUUCCAGAAAAACAUCUACUUCUGCUUCAUUGACUAUGCCAAAGCCUUUGACUGUGUGGAUCACAACAAACUGUGGAAAAU